AACGCACAUUGCGCCCCUUGGUAUUCCGAGGGGCAUGCCUGUUCGAGCGUCAUUUCAAACCUCAAGCUCACGCUUGGUGUUGGGCGUCGUCCGCGAGGACGUGCCCGAAACCCGUAGGCAGCGGUGCCCGUCUCCCAGCGUAGUCAAGUUACCCGCUUGCGAGCGCGCGGUGCCGCCCGCCGGACCAACAACCACUUUUUUCUAUGGUUUGACCUCGGAUCAGGUAGGGAUACCCGCUGAACUUAA
rnacentral:misc_RNA from 1 species